CUCUCUCUCUCUCUCUCUCUUCAGCUAAAAAUAAUCUUAUCUCGUCUUGGAUAGCAUGCAGUAAUAGCCUCAGGCUGGUCUUUUUCUCCAACAAGUUGCACUCCCUACUAUAACUCCUAAAGCAAUAAGAGAUGCAAAAUUGCCAUUAGCACUGUACCCUACCUUAUUCAUGUACAGUUGCAUAAUUUGAAAAUACAAUCGUAAACCAUAUCAAGAAAAAGCAAACUCAACAAGUUCCAAGUUAUGUACCUUUUAUCCCACUUUCAAUACAAUACGGGUCAUUUUGAAGCAUACUCUACUUCAAGCUGUUUCCUCAAUUUUCUCAAUGCUAACGAAUAUAUAGCUUUCCUCCUCACUGAUGUUUUCUCAGACACCAAUUUGACUGCCUAAAGGCACAUCAAUGCAAUCAUAAUCACGAUUUGUAAAUUGUAAUGCCUCACAAACUUCUCACACAAAUAAACAAAACAGAAAGAUGGUCAUAUAAAGGCACCUACAUUACAAUUAUAAGCAGGUUCAAGCUGAAUAUACAUUAAUUACACUGUUGAGUUUGCAUGAGUAAUGUUCACCAGGGAUCCACAUUAAUUUGAUUAAGCUGAAUAUACAUUAAUUACUAUAUUGAUUUGCAUGAGUAAUGUUCACCAGGGAUCCACAUUAAUUUGAUUAAGCUGAAUAUACAUUAAUUACUAUAUUGAUUUGCAUGAGUAAUGUUCACCAGGGAUCCACAUUAAUUUGAUUAAAGCAUAAUCAAAGAAUAAAUGUGUAUCAUAGAUCUUUCCAAUGCUUAUGUACAGUGCGAAAAGAGCAUGCCAAUGGAAAUUAAAGGACUAUAUUAAUAUGCAUAUGUCUUGCAGCUAUUACCCUGUCACAUUAAUGACACUACAUAUAUAUUCCCAGAAAAGGAAAAGUACUUCAAAAAAGGGCUAAUGGUCCGAUAUAUUCCAUAGUUUGAUGUUUUUUCCAAUUGUAUCCUAUACUUUCUAUUUUAUCAAUUGGUUCAUAACUCCUUUUUUUAAAAGGGCUAAUGGUCUAAUAUAUCCCAAUUUCAAAUUCAUCCCCUCUUAGUUUAUAUUUCAUAAAGAGUAUUGAAUUUGAAAUUGCCCAAGCUAACCCAAAUUUUUCAAUAUCAAUCUUCUGAAUGUUUGGCAGAAAUAAAAUGAAUUUAUAUUUCCCUAUAACACAUAAAACUUGAUUCAACUUAAUUCUGAUUGAAGUAGUCAGUACUGUAGAUAGACUGUGCCCAAGAAAGAUCAGGUCUCUCAAUUCAUUCUCAAGCUGACUCUCUGAUGGAGUUUCAAUCAAUUGAUUCAUCUUGCCUUCAAUCAACAGUGUGAUCUUUCCCUUAGGUUGGUGAUCUGAAAAUACUUCUUUUGCCUCCCCAAGAGUACCCCGCCAAAACUCUUCA
rnacentral:misc_RNA from 1 species